rnacentral:rRNA from 1 species
UACGAAGGGGGCUAGCGUUGCUCGGAAUCACUGGGCGUAAAGCGCACGUAGGCGGAUUGUUAAGUCAGGGGGUGAAAUCCUGGAGCUCAACUCCAGAACUGCCUUUGAUACUGGCGAUCUUGGAGUCCGGGAGAGGUGAGUGGAACUCCGAGUGUAGAGGUGAAAAUUCGUAGAUAUUCGGAAGAACACCAGUGGCGAAGGCGGCUCACUGGCC